rnacentral:rRNA from 1 species
GACGAACGCUGGCGGCGUGCUUAACACAUGCAAGUCGAACGGAAAGGCCCUGCUUUUGUGGGGUGCUCGAGUGGCGAACGGGUGAGUAACACGUGAGUAACCUGCCCUUGACUUUGGGAUAACUUCAGGAAACUGGGGCUAAUACCGGAUAGGAGCUCCUGCUGCAUGGGGGGGGUGGGAAAGUGUCGGCGGUUGGGGAUGGACUCGCGGCUUAUCAGCUUGUUGGUGGGGUAGUGGCUUACCAAGGCUUCGACGGGUCGCCGGCCUGGGAGGGUGACCGGCCCCAUUGGGACUGGGAUACGGCCCAGAGUCAAACGGGGGGCAGCAGUGGGAAAUUUUGCACAAUGGGCGGAAGCCUGAUGCAGCGACGCCGCGUGCGGAAUGACGGCCUUCGGGUUGUAACCCGCUUUAGCCUGUGACGAAGCGUGAGUGACGGUAAUGGGUAAAGAAGCACCGGCUAACUACGUG